rnacentral:rRNA from 1 species
CCGAACGGUAACGAUACUAGCUUGCUAGUAGGCGACGAGUGGCGGACGGGUGAGUAACGCGUAGGAAUCUACCUAGUAGUGGGGGAUAGCCAAGGGAAACUUUGGGUAAUACCGCAUACGAUCUAAGGAUGAAAGGGGGCCUCUCUUUGAAGCUCUCGCUAUUAGAUGAGCCUGCGUAAGAUUAGCUUGUUGGUGGGGUAAUGGCCCACCAAGGCGACGAUCUUUAACUGGUCUGAGAGGAUGAUCAGUCACACUGGAACUGAGACACGGUCCAGACUCCUACGGGAGGCAGCAGUCGGGAAUAUUGGACAAUGGGGGAAACCCUGAUCCAGCCAUGCCGCGUGUGUGAAGAAGGCUCUGGGGUUGUAAAGCACUUUUAGUAGGGAGGAAGGCUCGAUGGUUAAUACCCAUCGGGAUUGACGUUACCUACAGAAAAAGCACCGGCUAAUUUCGUGCCAGCAGCCGCGGUAAUACGAAAGGUGCAAGCGUUAAUCGGAAUUACUGGGCGUAAAGCGCGCGUAGGCGGCUUAGUAAGUUAGAUGUGAAAGCCCCGGGCUCAACCUGGGAACUGCAUCUAAAACUGCUAGGCUAGAGUAUGGUAGAGGAUGGCGGAAUUUCCUGUGUAGCGGUGAAAUGCGUAGAUAUAGGAAGGAACAUCAGUGGCGAAGGCGGCCAUCUGGACCAAUACUGACGCUGAGGUGCGA